GAUGAACGCUGGCGGCGUGCCUAAUACAUGCAAGUCGAGCGAACAGACGAGGAGCUUGCUCCUCUGACGUUAGCGGCGGACGGGUGAGUAACACGUGGAUAACCUACCUAUAAGACUGGGAUAACUUCGGGAAACCGGAGCUAAUACCGGAUAACAUGUUGAACCGCAUGGUUCAACAGUGAAAGACGGUCUUGCUGUCACUGAUAGAUGGAUCCGCGCCGCAUUAGCUAGUUGGUAAGGUAACGGCUUACCAAGGCAACGAUGCGUAGCCGACCUGAGAGGGUGAUCGGCCACACUGGAACUGAGACACGGUCCAGACUCCUACGGGAGGCAGCAGUAGGGAAUCUUCCGCAAUGGGCGAAAGCCUGACGGAGCAACGCCGCGUGAGUGAAGAAGGUCUUCGGAUCGUAAAACUCUGUUAUUAGGGAAGAACAAAUGUGUAAGUAACUAUGCACGUCUUGACGGUACCUAAUCAGAAAGCCACGGCUAACUACGUG
rnacentral:rRNA from 1 species